GGGCGAAUGGUUUAGUGGUAUAAUACUCCCUUAGCAUCGGUCCAAUUCGAUUGGGAGUGGUCCGGGGUUCGAUUCCCCGUUUGUCCA
rnacentral:tRNA from 1 species